UUUUACUCAAUACCCACGAUGUCGCACUCUAUGAAGCGUAAAAUAAAUGCAAUACAAUAUUGCAAGCUUGCAUGUUACGUGUUACUGAUGUUUGUUUACUCUCUGUUAAAUGAGAAAAAUCCAAGUAAAUUCAUCGUGGUCUGCGACUGAAAGUUCUCGAUCCAAGGGUUGUGUAUUCAAGUGAGUACUGGGAUCGUUCCAAUGGAAUUUACGACUCAUCCGCACGAAAGAACGGCACGAAUUCAUCAUUCGGGUCCAUGGCGAGUCUAGGGCGCAUUUGAGUACUCUUCUCGACUCUUCCCACUAGCGCCUAACUACUUCUUCCAUCUACAAGCGAAAUCUUCUUGCUACCAGACGAAGUGAGCAUAUCAUUCAGUCAGUAAGCUGUCGUCAUUUCUGUUCACCGAGCUUCAAGAGCUUCAGUUAGCGUUAAGUCAUCAGUUACUGAAGGAUCAUAUAUCCGCUGUGAGGACUACCGGAUCAAACGCAUGCAGUGUAUCCUUGGUAGGCAGUUAUUUUAUUGUUUAUUUUUUACUUCACUGAAACCACCCUGCAAGCAGAGCCUUUUCUUGCGGUACAUAUACUUUAUCCGCUCAAAAAAAAAAACGAUAAAAGAGGCUCUGCUCGCAGGGUGCAUUGAGACCAGAAUUUAUUCUUUUUCAACGAUUAAAAAGCGGCGCGUUCGAAAUAUUCAACGUGUUUCAGUUGCCAUUGUGUUCAAAAGCCGCUAUUAAUUUUCCUGUGAGUUUAAAAAAAAAAUGAUGAAACGUCGUUAAGGUUCACUUGGUAUACAUGUCUCAGACGUGCUUUUAAGAAAACACUAAAUGUUAAAACAUUUUAGCUUGAAAUAAAAAGAAAUACAGAAGCUCAAAGCCUCAAUCGAAUCGUGUUUUUAAUCACCCAACAUGCUACCGUGAAAGAAAACUUCAAACGGUUUAUUUUAAACAUAGGUCUUUGCAUUUUGGAUUAUCGGAGCACUGUAGCGGAAAAACUACUCGUUUGAUUAUAGAUAUUUCUAUUCUAAAACUGGAUAACUUUGAGUCAAGCCUACAACAUUUUCCAUCGCGAAAGACACAAUUCAUUUUGUAGUUGUGAUUAAAUAUUCCAAACACGAAAAGGCGACGGGACCGUUGACCUGUCACUUUGUUGUUUACGUUUAACUUUAGCUAAGGUAUAUUUCAUUGAGUAAAUAGUGUUCGCAAUUAGUUUUUUUUUAAGCUAAAUACUAUUGACACUUUCAUUCAUUCAUUCAUUCAUUCAUUCAUUCAUUCAUUCAUUAUUCAAACGCUUUCUAGUUUCUCUUUUUCGUAUCACAACACAUAUGAUGACAUGAUCACUGUUAUGGUUGCAGCAUCGAAUUAUCUUUUAAGGAAUUUUGACAGCACGUCUGAGACAGUGAGAGACAUGUAUACCAAGUGAACCUUAACGACGUUUCAUCAUUUUUUUUGAACUCACAGAUAGAUACCUCAAGUCACCCCAAAUACAUUUUUCAGGAGCAACAAAAAUUAAAUUUUUUUUUCAAAAUCUUGGUCAAGUUAUUGGAAUAUCGGAUGGAUUUUGUCCACAUUCUUUUUUAACAUUUGUCGAAAGGCUCAAGUUGAGUCCGUCGUUGUUUUAGUUUGCUUUUUAAUUUUAUUUUUUCUGUCAGCUUAGUAUUAUUUGGAUGGUAAAUAAUAGCGACAUUGUUUAUAAACCGCGACUGACAAUGAAAUAAGCAUAAUUUUGCCUUUCAAACUCACUCCAUUAAGUUGCUGGCCGGUUAUAUAUCGUUUCCACGAUAUUAGUUAUUCAGGAAAGUUACUGAUUCAGGUAAAAAUAUUUGCAUCGGAACGGACAUAUUAGUCCACCUCAACUCCAAUUCGCACUCGUUCCAAACAAUACUGAUAAACGCUUCAAUUGUCAGUUGAUUAUAAAUCUUCCCCAACUUGACACAAAGCAGUUUCUCCAAUCAGAAUAGACUGGCUGUGUGUUCGACGAUACAGUCCUGAAAUCGACUGAAAGAUUAGUCUUUCCUCAGGAAAUUUUAUUGCUUUAUUCACAAUGUCAAUGAACCCCAAGAGGUUUGCCACAUGCCAAAACUUUCGACAUAAUUGCUAGCGGAGAAAUCAACACAUGAAUUGUCAGAUUGAAACAACUCACUGCUCUCGUUUAGUUCCGAAUCAGUUUUAUUUAUUUGUCCUACAGAGUGAAAAGGUUACGGUUGUUGUCACACUCAAAGAAACAAAUUGGACAAAAACAUAAACCCGACAUUCACAAUGCUUUAUACUAAAGGAAUUUCAGAGCUUUGUUUCAAAAACUGACUCUGUCUCAUUAGCAUCAAGGAUAUAGCCUCUUUUUAGUAAGACUAGCCGAAUUAAGUACAGGUCCCUUCAAUACAGAUUAUCUGGGUUCUUUAGAUCUUUUGUAAACAUUUUCCAUUUUCGAAUCCUUGAAAGUAUAAAAGGCGUUUUCUUUACGUGAGAAAAAUCCGUGCUCAGGUUUUCUUUGUUUGGAUCAAGAAAAGGCAACAUCAAUUUGAGUAAAAAUCUUUCCCUGACUAAACGGGACAUGUUGCAAUACAUUUGUCAAACUUUUCAAAGAGUUGUAUUGAAACUGAAGAAAGCACUAUCCAGAGCAAAGAUAUAUAUGUUAUUUGCCGGUUGGGAGGUCGGUAUACGGACCGACCAAGGCCGGCAAAUAACGUGUCUUUUUUUUUUUUCUACAGUAUCGCUUUGAAAGCAACUUUUAUGUUUCCUUUCAGUUCAAAUCUGGCGUACGCGUGAGUUUCAGGCACAACUGAAGAGCGACACUGU
rnacentral:lncRNA from 1 species